rnacentral:pre_miRNA from 1 species
GAGGGGAGCACAGGAUCCUGGGCUGUGUCCCCCGCACCCUGGGCUCCGGGGCCUGCGCCGCUGGAAUCGCGCUCCCGGGGCCGCGCAGCCCCCU